rnacentral:lncRNA from 1 species
UGGAAUAGAAUUUUUGUCAAUUGAAAAAAAAGUAGAGGCCUAAUGAGUAUGGUGAGGAAUCAUACUAUAUAUAAAUUGCUUAAUACUAAACAUGAUUACUAAACAUGUACAUGAUGCAAGACACGACAUUCAUUAUUCAAUGCAAGACUCGAGCUACAGCUACUCUGUCGAUGCACGAGGAUACAUUUAACUUUGGACACAGAUGAGAGUGUCGUCAACAUCGAUAGAGAUAAGUAACAUCUACUCGGAGUGAUAAGUGAGAUGUCCUACCAAUGCUCGUGCCUUUAUGUAAGACCCCUCUACUCACACACACAACCCGGUUGAGUUAGCUCGCUGUGGUCAUCAUUGCAUACUUUGGCAUUUGCUCGCCCAACAUCGACUUGACACAACGAUACAUGACAUACUAACUAUAAGGUGUGUUUUCAAUUUUUUUUUUAUGGCAGUUUAAUGGAGCAACUUGGAUGAUGAAGAUUGAGAAGGAAGAUGAUACAUGAUCAUUUAGCCAUAGGAGAAAGGAAGUUUUUUUUUUUUUUUGGAUGUUUAAGGAUUUUCAAUUGGCAUAUAUAUAGAAGAAGAAUGAAGUUUACGUGUACAGUAUAUAAAAUUUGGAAGAACGGAAAGGGGGUUCUCAAUAGUAAUAACUGGGGAAAGAAGCUGCGAAUAGAAAUAUGUGAAAUGAUAGAAGGGUGCUCAGCAAGUAGAGUCUGCAGUGGUAGGCCUAACUUAUGGGAUGCAAUGCAAACAUAAACUAUAAAAAGAAGGGGUGCAGAUAGUAGUCUAACCAAAACAAUUUUUUCCUAAUUUUAAAGUACAAAAAAAUGGAUAUCACUUUUUUUUAUCACUUUUUCUUCACAUCCAUCACUUAUAUUAUUUAUCCAAAAUACUCAUUUUAUAAACACUAACAUUUUUAUUCAAAAUAAAAUAAAUAAUUACU